rnacentral:rRNA from 1 species
AGUGGGAAUUUUCCGCAAUGGGGGCAACCCUGACGGAGCAACGCCGCGUGCGGGAGGACGGCCUUAGGGUUGUAAACCGCUUUUCUCAGGGAAGAAGUACUGACGGUACUUGAGGAAUAAGCCUCGGCUAACUCUGUGCCAGCAUCCGCGGUAAGACGGAGGAGGCAAGCGUUAUCCGGAAUUAUUGGGCGUAAAGUGUCCGCAGGCGGCUAGUUAAGUCUGCUGUCAAAGCUCAGGGCUCAACUCUGAAUCGGCAGUGGAAACUGAUUAGCUAGAGAGCGGUAGGGGUAGAGGGAAUUCCCGGUGUAGCGGUGAAAUGCGUAGAUAUCGGGAAGAACAUCAGUGGAGAAGUCGCUCAAAAGGCCCGCCACUGACGUUGAGGGACGAAAGCUAGGGGAGCGAAAGGGAUUAGAUAUUCCUGUAGUCCUAGUCAGUAACUUGAUGGACAAUAGAUGUUGUUCGUCAUCGAUACGUUCCAGUAUCGAAGCAUAACGCGUUAAUUUUUG